rnacentral:rRNA from 1 species
UACGGGGGGGGUAAGCGUUGUUCGGAAUUGCUGGGCGUAAAGGGCUCGUAGGCGGCCAACUAAGUCAGACGUGAAAUCCCUCAGCUUAACUGGGGAACUGCGUCUGAUACUGGAUGGCUUGGAUUCGGGAGAGGAAUGCGGAAUUCCAGGUGUAGCGGUGAAAUGCGUAGAUAUCUGGAGGAACACCAAUGGCGAAGGCAGCACUCUGGGCCGGUACUGACGCUGAGGAGCGAAAGCGUGGGGAGCAAACAGG